rnacentral:rRNA from 1 species
UACGGAGGGUGCAAGCGUUGUCCGGAUUUAUUGGGUUUAAAGGGUGCGUAGGUGGCUUUUUAAGUCAGUGGUGAAAGCCUGCAGCUUAACUGUAGGACUGCCAUUGAUACUGAGGAGCUUGAGUACUGAUGAGGUAGGCGGAAUUGAUAGUGUAGCGGUGAAAUGCAUAGAUAUUAUCAAGAACACCGAUUGCGAAGGCAGCUUACUAAGGAGUUACUGACACUGAGGUGCGAAAGCGUGGGGAGCAAACAGG